rnacentral:rRNA from 1 species
CCUACGGGGGGCACCAGUCGAGAAUAGUCUACAAUGGUCGGAAGACUGAUAGUGCGACGCCGCGUGAACGAGGAAGCCCUUCGGGGUGUAAAGUUCUUUUAUAUGUGAGCAGUGGGUUCUACGUUAAUAGCGUGGGAUCAGGGAUAUUAGCAUAUGAAUAAGCAACGGCUAACUCCGUGCCAGCAGCCGCGGUAACACGGGGGUUGCGAGCGUUGUCCGGAAUUACUAGGCGUAAAGGGCAGGUAGGCGGAUCUAUAAGUUUUUUGUCAAAUUCAACGGCUCACCCGUUGCGAGGCAGGAGAUACUGUAGAUCUGGAAUGCGGUUGGGGAAGACAGAAUUCCUGGUGUAGCGGUGGAAUGCGCAGAGAUCAGGAGGAAUACCUAAGGCGAAGGCAGUCUUCUAAGCCGUAAUUGACGCUAAACUGCGAAGGUGUGGGUAU